rnacentral:tRNA from 1 species
AGCCUCGUAGCUCAGCUGGUAAAGCGUGCGCGUACCAAGCAAAGGUGGCAUCCAUGCGUGGGUUUGAAUCCCACAGAGGCUA